GCACAAGCAGCGGAGCGUGUGGUUUAAUUCGAUGCUACACGAAGAACCUUACCUGGGUUUGACAUAGAGGUAGUAGGGAAGCGAAAGCGGACCGACCUUCGGGAGCCUCUACAGGUGUUGCAUGGCUGUCGUCAGCUCGUGUCGUGAGAUGUUCGGUUAAGUCCGCUAACGAGCGCAACCCUCGCUGUGUGUUACAAGUGUCACACGGUACUGCCGAUAUUAAGUCGGAGGAAGGUGGGGAUGACGUCAAGUCAGCAUGACCUUUAUAUCCAGGGCUACACACACGCUACAAUGGCCAGUACAAUGGGUUGCCAAGCCGCGAGGCGGAGCCAAUCCUAAAAAGCUGGCCUCAGUUCAGAUUGCAGUCUGCAACUCGACUGCAUGAAGUUGGAGUUGCUAGUAACCGCAGGUCAGCAAUACUGCGGUGAAUACGUUCCCGGGGAUU
rnacentral:rRNA from 1 species